GAAGUAUAAGCCAACACAUCGUCA
rnacentral:siRNA from 1 species